AAAUUGAAGAGUUUGAUCAUGGCUCAGAUUGAACGCUGGCGGCAGGCCUAACACAUGCAAGUCGAACGGUAACAGGAAGCAGCUUGCUGCUUCGCUGACGAGUGGCGGACGGGUGAGUAAUGUCUGGGAAACUGCCUGAUGGAGGGGGAUAACUACUGGAAACGGUGGCUAAUACCGCAUAACGUCGCAAGACCAAAGAGGGGGACCUUCGGGCCUCUUGCCAUCAGAUGUGCCCAGAUGGGAUUAGCUUGUUGGUGAGGUAACGGCUCACCAAGGCGACGAUCCCUAGCUGGUCUGAGAGGAUGACCAGCCACACUGGAACUGAGACACGGUCCAGACUCCUACGGGAGGCAGCAGUGGGGAAUAUUGCACAAUGGGCGCAAGCCUGAUGCAGCCAUGCCGCGUGUAUGAAGAAGGCCUUCGGGUUGUAAAGUACUUUCAGCGGGGAGGAAGGUGUUGCGGUUAAUAACCGCAGCAAUUGACGUUACCCGCAGAAGAAGCACCGGCUAACUCCGUGCCAGCAGCCGCGGUAAUACGGAGGGUGCAAGCGUUAAUCGGAAUUACUGGGCGUAAAGCGCACGCAGGCGGUCUGUCAAGUCGGAUGUGAAAUCCCCGGGCUCAACCUGGGAACUGCAUUCGAAACUGGCAGGCUUGAGUCUUGUAGAGGGGGGUAGAAUUCCAG
rnacentral:rRNA from 1 species